rnacentral:rRNA from 1 species
AUUGAACGCUGGCGGCAUGCCUAACACAUGCAAGUCGAACGGGGCAGCAAUGCCUAGUGGCGGACGGGUGAGGAAUACGUAGGAAUCUGCCCUUAAGUGGGGGAUAACCAGGGGAAACCCUGACUAAUACCGCAUGAUCUCUUCGGAGCAAAGAGGGGGACCGCAAGGCCUCUCGCUUCUGGAUGAGCCUACGUCUGAUUAGCUAGUUGGUAGGGUAAAGGCCUACCAAGGCGACGAUCAGUAACUGGUCUGAGAGGAUGAUCAGUCACACCGGAACUGAGACACGGUCCGGACUCCUACGGGAGGCAGCAGUGGGGAAUAUUGGACAAUGGGCGCAAGCCUGAUCCAGCAAUGCCGCGUGUGUGAAGAAGGCCUUCGGGUUGUAAAGCACUUUAGCCUGGAAAGAAAAAACUUUGGUUAACACCCAAAGUCUCGACGGUACCAGGAGAAUAAGCACCGGCUAACUCUGUGCCAGCCGCCGCGGUAAGAC